GACGAACGCUGGCGGCGUGCCUUAGACAUGCAAGUCGAACGGAGUAGCAAUACUCAGUGGCGAACGGCGGAGUAAUGCAUAAGCAACGUGCCCCAAAGACUGGGAUAGUCGAGGGAAACCACGGGUAAUACCAGAUGUGGUCCUUAGAUGGCAUCAUCGAGGGAUUAAAUCGAGCAAUCGGCUUUGGGAGCGGCUUAUGUCCUAUCAGCUUGUUGGUGAGGUAACGGCUCACCAAGGCUACGACGGGUAGGGGGUCUGAGAGGAUGAUCCCCCCGAGUGGGACUGCGACACGGCCCACACACCUACGGGUGGCAGCAGUUUGGAAUAUUGCACAAUGGGGGAAACCCUGCAUGCAGCGACGCCGCGUGGAGGACGAAGGAUCUAGGUCUGUAAACUCCUUUUGCCAGGAAAGACUUAGGACGGUACCUGGCGAAUAAGCCCCGGCUAACUACGUGCCAGCAGCCGCGGUAAGACGUAGGGGGCGAGCGUUGUCCGGAUUUACUGGGCGUAAAGAGCGCGUAGGCGGCUAGUUAAGUGAGAAGUGAAAUCUCCAGGGCUCAACCCGGAAACUGCUUUUCAUACUGGCCAGCUGGAGGGACGCAGGGGUGACUGGAAUUCCCGGUGUAGCGGUGAAAUGCAUUGAUAUCGGGAGGAACUCCAACAGCGAAGGCAGGUCACUGGGCGUUUCCUGACGCUGAGGCGCGAAAGCGUGGGUAGCAAACAGGAUUAGAUACCCUGGUAGUCCACGCCCUAAACGAUGGAUACUAGACGUAAGAGGUAUCGACCCCUCUUGUGUCGCAGCUAACGCAUUAAGUAUCCCGCCUGGGGAGUACGGCCGCAAGGUUGAAACUCAAAUGAAUUGACGGGGACCCGCACAAGCGGUGGAGCAUGUGGAUUAAUUCGAUACUAACCGAAGAACCUUACCCAGGUUUGACAUCGAUGGUAAGCCCGAGAGAUCGGGCCCUCUCUCACAAGGAGACCUGAAGACAGAUGUUGCAUGGCUGUCGUCAGCUCGUGCCGUGAGGUGUACGGUUAAGUCCGCCAACGAGCGCAACCCUCGUCCUAUGUUGCCAGCGAGUAAUGUCGGGAACUCAUAGGAGACCGCCGGUGUAAGCCGGAGGAAGGUGGGGAUGAUGUCAAGUCAGCAUGGCUCUUACGCCUGGGGCUUCACACAUGCUACAAUGGGCGCAACAAAGGGCACCGAAGCCGUGAGGUGGAGGCAAUCCCAAAAAUACGCCCCCAGUUCAGAUUGCAGUCUGCAACUCGACUGCAUGAAGGCGGAAUCGCUAGUAAACGCAGGUCAGCUAUACUGCGUUGAAUACGUUCCCGGGUCUUGUACACACCGCCCGUCAAGUCACCUGAAUUGUCUUCACCCGAAGUCCGUGGCCUAACCGUAAGGAGGGAGCGGCCGAAGGUGAGGGGAGUAAGGGGGACU
rnacentral:rRNA from 1 species